rfam:Catabacter hongkongensis strain HKT16 2806ref_2ab_c9, whole genome shotgun sequence.
UGCAGAGUAGGUUUUGCGCGUCAAGUGUAUAAGGAUGGGAUGUCGCCUUAUAACGAAAAGGCCUUUGGCCUUGCGGUUCAAAACUGCGUCCGCUGCU